GGGGAUUUAGCUCAGCGGUAGAGCGCUUGUCUAGCGAGCACAAGGCCCUGGGUUCGGUCCCCAGCUCCG
rfam:Rattus norvegicus chromosome 2, whole genome shotgun sequence.